rnacentral:rRNA from 1 species
UACGUAGGGCGCAAGCGUUAUCCGGAAUUAUUGGGCGUAAAGAGCUCGUAGGCGGUUUGUCGCGUCUGCCGUGAAAGUCCGGGGCUCAACUCCGGAUCUGCGGUGGGUACGGGGCAGACUAGAGUGCGGUAGGGGGAGAUUGGAAUUCCUGGUGUAGCGGUGGAAUGCGCAGAUAUCAGGAGGAACACCGAUGGCGAAGGCAGAUCUCUGGGCCGUAACUGACGCUGAGGAGCGAAAGCAUGGGGAGCGAACAGG